rnacentral:rRNA from 1 species
CCUGAGAAACCCAAAAGAUCGAAUGGGGAGAUUCAUCGUCAGCUCAUUUUAUAUAUAUGCAAGUUGUGAUAUGGGUUACUGCUUAUGUAGUAUUGCCUGUACACUCUUGUAUAUUUAAUUGUAAAAUGUUGGUCGGCGUGCACUUCUCCUCUAGUAGGACGUCGCGACCCGUUGAGUGUAUUUUUAUAUAUAUAUUGGUCUACGGCCCAAGUGUGUAAGCUUUUAAUGGAUAUUUCACUAUAUCCAUUGAAAACCCUUGGUGUUACCUGACUAACGCUCGUCGGUAAUCAUAUGGUAUUGAGCCGCAUAAUAUAUGCGUCCAUAUCUAUCACAAGCGAGGUUAGUUACUCAAUAGUACGGACUUAGUGCCAUCGUUGGUGCUAAUCAGCUGUUGGUUGUAUAGAAUUCUAGGACUG